rnacentral:rRNA from 1 species
UAAGAGGUCCAGCCUGCCCAGUGACACCAGUUCAACGGCCGCGGUAUCCUGACCGUGCGAAGGUAGCGUAAUCACUUGUCUUCUAAAUUAAGACUAGUAUGAAGGGCACCACGAGAAUCAAACUGUCUCCUUUCUCUAAUCUGUGAAACUAAUCUCCCCGUGAAGAAGCGGGGAUUCUAAUAUAAGACGAGAAGACCCUGUGGAGCUUAAGACAAAAAUACUAUUGCCCCAAACAUCUUAGUAUUAAGUCUUAGGUUGGGGCGACCACGGAGUAAAAACUACCCUCCAUGCUGAACGGAACCUCCUUAAACAAGAGCCACAGCUCUAUGAAUCAACAAAUUGACACACUUGACCCAAUUACUUGAUCAACGAAACAAGUUACCCCAGG